AGGAUCAGUGAUGACCACUGGUGGGAUAUGAGUCGUAGAUGGUGACUAAACUCUGGAUAUCUGAGGUUCAA
rnacentral:snoRNA from 1 species